UGGGGAAACCCUUUCUGCAGAUCCUGAUGCCUUCCAGCACACCGUUACAGCGCAGCUGGUGCAUCACCAGAGGGUUCUCCAUGGCCCCUGGAGUCUUGGUCUCGUUGGGGAUGAUGCAGCGUACAAAGUGAGGACUAUGGACCUCUCUAUGGGAUCAAGUCCAGAGUACUGCUUGUCUUCAGAUGAGGUAGUGACCAAGAGAUCCUCUCAUGAAAUAUUGAAAAGGACACACCAAGACCAGAUUAUCUGCUGCCAGUCUGUCAAGUCUGCUUGUAUCCUGUGCUCCAAAUGGCCCUCCCCAGUCUGGCUCCAAAAAGAGAGUGCUUGUUAAAAGAAAGAAUGGGCGCUACUACUGAUGUGAAGGUUAGUAGUUUUCUCUUUUGUAGUUUAGUUUUUCAGUAUGUUAGCCUUUAGUCAUAUCAAAAUGGAAAGAAAUAGUCAGAAAUAAAUGGUUGUGUCUCUGGAUGAUGUCCAGUUUUCUCUACCCGAAAGAAGUAGUGAGAAGAUGGCUCAUAUUUAUGCAAAAAGAGUAGUCUGUGAGCUUGUUUUGUUAAUUAUCUAUUGUGGGUGCAUGUGGAGUAGAAAUGUCUCACUUAUCAAGCACUGUGUCAUUUACAGUUCUGUACAUAAGCAUAUUGUUCUUAGGAGCGUCCUAAAGUAAUAAUAAUAAUAAUAGUUCAAGACUACAUUCAUAAAAUUCUUCUGCAUUUUCUAGUUGGCAGUGUCAUUUAAGUAAGUGUUAUACAAAAAAAAUGGAUUUAUUUUCUUAUUUGAAUCAAUCAACCUGAAUUCUGCAGUCCUCUCUUCACAUGUCACUGAUUAUUCUUUUAAAGUCUUCUUCAAUACCAUUGUCACCUAUUUUAAUCUCAUUUAAAUCCAGAACACCCAAAAAACAUUUAAAAAAAUGUUAGAUGUCAUGCUACAGGGAAAUAUAAAACAUAUAAAAUGCCUGAAAAUCUAAAGAAAAUGACAAAGCAAACUCUUCUUAUCAUGUAACAUGUAGAGUAAGUUCCAUUACUUUCACAUGCCUUUUUCCAACUGCCUUCUUUAUGGAUCUGUGAGCGCCAUCUGGUGGUCAUUUGAUGUUUGACUGACUUCUGAUGAAUGAGGUAUAAAAGCUGCCUAGUAAUAAUACCGUUGUCUACCUUACAAAAUAAAGCGCCUUGAGGUGACUGUUGUUGUGAUUUGGCACUAUAUAAAUAAAAUU